rnacentral:lncRNA from 1 species
UCCUUAUAUUUUUCAGAAAAUACAUGAUGAAAUUAAUUGGAGCCGCUGGAGUCGAGACAACAUCGAGCUCAUUCUCACUGCUUCUGACACGGCAAAAGUUAUCAUGGCGUCAACGACCUCUAUGCGGUGGUCGAGGGAAGGUGACCAGCAUCACAAAGUUCUUUCCCAGAAUAACUAUGGCAUGGACUUCCGAGGGACCGUUGGUAGGACAGGAUCCAAAAAUCUCACAAGUUUUUUGCAUGGAUUACUUCAGGGACCGCUGGUCCUCGCAGCCACCUUGCUUGUCAUCGUCUGGCCCCGAGUUUCUUCCCGUUUAUAGGAGCUGGAUUCUCUUCUACAAGACCAGUUGAUUUGGCGAGGAUGAGACUGAAAGAACGGUCCAAAGUCUAGCAACCCUUCCAAGCAGUGGGAUCGUCAAGGAGGUAUGGUUGUUGUCAAACAUUUCUUUAUACAUGGUUGCAUGCCUCAGCCAUCUUCUGAACCAAACCAUUAUCGAUCAAUUAGACUAUGUAACCCUACAUAUAAAAUUUCUUUGAUCUUUAGAGGAAGCAAUUCUACUGCAACAUAUAUAUAUAUAUAUAUAUAUAGGACAAUGUGUUCAUUGCCCAAGAGGCAGUGCAUACUUUGUAUGAAACCAAGGCACUAAAAAUCUGAUGCUAGUGAAGAUGGACAUGGAACGGACCUACCAUCAUGCUUCAUGGCCGUUCUUGCAUCAGGUGAUGAAUUAUGGGAGUCUCAAAUACGUUAAGUCUCAAAGUCUUUAAGUAUUUAUUCUGAAGAGUUUUGUUUACCUAAGAUGGGUAUCCAUGCAUCAUGUCUUUAAUAUCGGGGUGUUCUUGGAACCUCAUUUUUCAAGGGGGUUCUUGGAACGUAGGUGUGGUAGUUGGAAAGUAUUCCUCCUCGUAUUUAGUUGUUAGAAUUAUGCUUAAGUUUUUGAUGCUGCACACAUAUGGAUCGAGAUGAACUCUUGCUUAUUAGAAUUCAGGAUGGAUAUGUAUUCUAAAAAAAAAUAUUCAAAAAAAAUUUGAAUUGGAUAUGAAUAAUGAUAUUGUCAGUCAUAUAUCCGACUUGAUAUAAUUUUAAUCUAAAUAUCUUCUUUCAAAAUUAUAAUUAUUUUAUAAUAUUUAUAAGAUAAAUUUUUUAUCCAAUCUAACCUACAUGUCUAUUUAAUCCAAUCCGAGCAAUGUCUCUAUCCAACCCGGCUUGAGACGUACAAAGAUAUAUAUAAUGGGUAUGGUAUAAGGUUUUUAAUUACAAAGUGGAUACGAGUAUGGAUCAAUUUGAUCCAUAUCUGAUUUAUUACCAUCUUUAUUAUUUGGGAUAGGUAUAUACUUUUCUAUCUCAUAACCGAAAUCAAUCAGGAUUAGCCACCACCAGAAGAUGAUGAUUAUAUAGAGCAUGCAUCAUCUAUGAGACGGUGGCAUUCAUGGACCAUUUUAUUUGAUGGCCAUCCAUCUAUAAAUAAUGGCCAUUGAAGAUUGUACGAUACCCUGUGCAAUCUGCACAUUGCAGGUCCAUGCUCGGUAUAUAUUAGUCUAUUUGACAAGGGUAAAUCCUCCCAUCCAACCCUCUUCUGGUCAUGGCUCAAAUUGAGCCAAAUUGCAUCUUACAUGAGUGAAACGCUCAUUGCCCAUUUAUUUCGACUCCCAAUUAAUUGACAUCUAGCUACUUUUUAGAUGAACAUCCACUAACAUUUAGGUAAACCUAGCCUUGGGUCCAUUCCACAUUUUGUUAAUGGCGUUACUUCUUAGAGAUUCACAUGACAUUUGUUUUAUUCACUGUUUGGUUCCCAUGUUUAGAUAAAAGCUUCACGGAUGUAUCUUCUCUGGUUAUGUUAAUAUAUAUUUUUUACAUUAAAGAUCUGUUUAGUUAGGAACAAAUCAUCAUGUUUGGUGUGAAACAGAGAAGAAAAAGAUGAUAAAAAAAUAAUAAAUUUUAUAUUUAUUUUUUAAAAAAAAUAAAAUAAAUAUCAGAUUGAUAUUUGAUAAAUUUUCGAAUGAUCAUAAUUCAUACUUGAUAAAAAUUUUUUUAAUAAAAUUACUAUAUAAUCAUUAAAUUUAUUUGAUAUCUUUUCAUAUUUUUUCAAUAUAAAAUUUUUGUAAAAAAAUUAAGAUGAAAAUGACAUUAUAUAAAAGACUGUAUGAUUAUGGUUAUUAUAUAUAAAUUAAUUAAAAAUAAUAAUAUUAUUUUAAUAUUAAAAAAUAUUUUAUAUUGAAAGAUACAGUAUGUUAGUAAAUUUGAUCAUAUUUUUAUAUAUAUUUAUUUUCAACAUAAUAUUUUUUUUUAAUAUUAUUUUUUUAAAAUAAUUUUUUUAUCAAUCGAGUAUAUUAAAAAUUAUUUUUUUAAAUUUAAAAAUUAUCAGAUCACCUUCUAAUACGACACAUCCAACCAAACAGAUCCAAAUGUGUUUAACUGCUAGUAAAUGUGCCGUACUCUUAUUUAAGCCAUGCAACAAACGUACUAAAUGCUGAUAAUAAAGUCGUUAGGGCUUUUUGCGGAUUGAAAGCCAUAGGUCUAGUCGUGUUGCUCCUUUAUUCCAGAUGGAGAAUGCUGUGAGACGUGGCCUGGACAUUGAUGCAUGUUGUGUUGUGCUGUGCUGGGUAGAAUGCAUCAUGGUGUACAUAUAAGCAGUUAUGGAAAUUACUGAAGAAGCAUCAUUAUUUUGGAGAUGCAAGUUGGUUGGAAAUUAUCAACUUCAUUAAAAUUUUCCCAUCAAAACGUAUUCUAACGGAUACGUUUUGUCUUCUCUCAUCAAAAUUCGCCAUUCAUUUUUCUGCUGUAGGGUGCUUUUUUUUUUUUUUGGCGUGGCAGAGCCCUCCAACACACCCUGUGACAUCUUCUUUCAAAAUAAUAUCCCGGAGACUACUGAUUCAGAGAGAAGGUCCCCCAAAUUAUAAAUUCAUUAUGAUCGGCCGCACAUAAAAAAUCAUUCAAUCUAUUAGCUGAUUAAAUUUUUUAUAAAAAUAUAAUAAUUAUAAUAAUUAUUUUAGAUUAGAACCGAUAGAUAACGAUGCAAUCCAUCAAUCCAAUUUGUGUUUAAUUUUCAUAAGCAUAUUUAGAUUUGGAUAAAAUAGAUUCAAGUCGGAGACAUUCAAUCCAUUUAAAUUAUUUAAUUUAUUUAAUAUUUAAUUUGGAUCAAAUCGAAUAAUCUGUUUAACUUAUAUAAUUCAUAUAAUUUAUUUAAAAUAAAAAUUAAAAAUAUAUUUAAUUUAUUUUUUAUAUUUAAUUUAAAAUAUUUAAUUUAUAUAAUUUAAAAUAAAUUAAAAAAACUAACCAUUUGAGUUUAAACUUAAAAAAAUCUAUCAACUUG